AAAGGACAUGGCUGCUCUUAGGUUUGAAACCUAACACAGAAGAUUCAGCCAUGCAAUGGGAUUUGAAGACAAAGGACAUCUGGUUAUUUAUGGAUAUGAUUAUCAAAAUUGAGAAUCCUGGCCUCCACAAUAGGAGCAAGACUGCAAAAACAACUGUAACUGGACAAACAUGAAACUAUGGGGACACAUGAUGAAAUUCUACAAAGAGCUGGAAAGAGGCAAGCUACAGAGAAAGAAGCAAACUCCUGAUGGGGGAUGUCCUUAUAUAUAUGUGUUUCUCUUAUUGGUUGAUGAAUCAAACACUAAUUGGCCAGCAGCCAGGCAGGAAGUAUAGGCAGGGUUAAGAGAUGAGGAAAUUCUGGGUAGAGGACUCAGAGAGAGGUAAUGAGAGAGAUGCCAUGUAGCUAUGGGAAGACAGAAUGCAUCAAGCAUUCUCCGGUAAAAUAAGACGAUGUAGAAAUAAUAAUACAUAGAUUAAUAGUAGUGGGUUAAUAAUUAAGAGAGCUAGCCAAUAAGUAGCCUAAGCCAUCAGCCAAACAGUUUAUGAUCAAUAUAAGCCUCAGUAUAUUUAUUUGGGACCAAAUGGCUCUGAGCCCCAGUGGGCCAGAAACUUCUGCCCACAAGCUCCCUUCAAGAGCAGAGGACAAACCUUGGGAGCAUGAUCACAAGUGAAAAGUUUGGGUCAGGAGCAAGUGUCCUGUAUUAGUCAGAGCUUCCUGAAGGUAGUUGUUCAGUCCACAAGGCUGGAUGUCUCAGCAGUCCCAAUCUGACACUGAAGUUCUGGAGGAUUCCUGGAGAGUUGCUGGUCUUCAGUCUACCUUGGAAUUCUGAAGAUGCUACACUUAAUAUUGCUCACAGUA
rnacentral:lncRNA from 1 species